AACGGCAACGCCUGUCAUUUUCUUCUUCUUGAGAAAAAUAAGAGUGAAGUUCCUGUGAAAAUAUUUCAGAACUUUAAUAGGAAUAGCACUUACAAACUUCUUGUAAUUUUUCUUAAGAAAUGUCUUAAAUUCUUCCUUUUCGUGAAAGAUUUAGUUAAAGAUUUUCGUGAAUCAGGCCCUAGCGUUUGCAGUGUACGGUCCCUAAUAAUAUACUUGACAUGGAGUCAGAAGAUGAGUGCGAGUUGGACUCCACAUGGGAAGACGAAUACGAAAAUAAAACACCCAGAAAGAAGGUGUUACACAGGAGAAGUUGCAGGAACAUGAAUGCUGCAAAGGAGAUGCAAGACUUUCGACAUAGUUACAUUAACUACGAUGACGAUAAUGAAAAUAAUGAUGAACCACGUCAAGUAAGUAAUCCAUCUCCUCAGAAUUUGCCACCUCUAACAUAUCUUUACAGUAUGUUUUGUGUAUCAUUUACACAAAACUAUUUGGUUUCACAGCCCACUAUGUAGUCUUGAUUUGGAGAAGAGGAUUGGGAAUUGGGUUGUAAAGUAUUUUUAUUUGUUCACAAGGGCCGCUUCUAUAACCUGGAAUUUUACCAUGGUAGGAUAAAA